AGAGUUUGAUCCUGGCUCAGAUUGAACGCUGGCGGCAUGCCUUACACAUGCAAGUCGAACGGUAACAGGCCGCAAGGUGCUGACGAGUGGCGAACGGGUGAGUAAUGCAUCGGAACGUGCCCAGUAGUGGGGGAUAGCCCGGCGAAAGCCGGAUUAAUACCGCAUACAACCUACGGGUGAAAGCGGGGGACCGAAAGGCCUCGCGCUAUUGGAGCGGCCGAUGUCAGAUUAGGUAGUUGGUGGGGUAAAGGCCUACCAAGCCUACGAUCUGUAGCUGGUCUGAGAGGACGACCAGCCACACUGGGACUGAGACACGGCCCAGACUCCUACGGGAGGCAGCAGUGGGGAAUUUUGGACAAUGGGCGCAAGCCUGAUCCAGCCAUGCCGCGUGCGGGAAGAAGGCCUUCGGGUUGUAAACCGCUUUUGUCAGGGAAGAAAUCUUCUGGGUUAAUACCUCGGGAGGAUGACGGUACCUGAAGAAUAAGCACCGGCUAACUACGUGCCAGCAGCCGCGGUAAU
rnacentral:rRNA from 1 species